GGCGCAGAGACUUCUGCCCGCCGCUGCCGCGUGCAAACGCUGCGGUGGUCGUCGCCUGAGGGCUUUGCUUCCUUACCGCACGGUGGCUGCGGUCCGCGAGAGCAAGCAUUUCAAGACGGAUUGCAUUUUCAGUUCCACUGCUGAAUUGGAAUGUUCUAGAUCUUCAGAGCCACAGGACAGAAAAAGCCUGAAUGCAGAAAAAUAACCCCUGAGCACAAAUGCACUGAACUGUUACCUUGGUAUUUAUUUGACACCAACUAGCAUUGACUUAGAAGCAGUUCUCCUAUUUGAAUCUCUUUUAGUCAGCUCAUCUGGAAUGCUGUCAAGGACAAACUAAGCAAGAGUUAUUUAUGUAUGAUGACCAUAUUUGAGUGGGAUGAAUCCUGACCUUUUCUUUGGUGAGAAAAUUCAAGGCUGCUUGAAGAUUGAAAAAAAUUAAAAAUAACAUGAUUCCUUUCAUUGAUUAUAAAUCUCAAACUAAGAACAUAUAUGUACAAAUGUUGGCCUAAUGAAACUGCAAUGAAAGUUUGCUCUGAAUUUUACUUGGAAUAAAUCGGUUAUUUGUAAAGAGA